UACAUAGGGGGCAAGCGUUAUCCGGAUUUACUGGGUGUAAAGGGAGCGUAGACGGUUAUGCAAGUCUGAAGUGAAAGCCCAAGGCUCAACCAUGGGACUGCUUUGGAAACUGUAAAACUGGAGUGCAGGAGAGGUAAGCGGAAUUCCUAGUGUAGCGGUGAAAUGCGUAGAUAUUAGGAGGAACACCAGUGGCGAAGGCGGCUUACUGGACUGUAACUGACGUUGAGGCUCGAAGGCGUGGGGAGCAAACAGG
rnacentral:rRNA from 1 species